rnacentral:rRNA from 1 species
UACGGGGGGUGCGAGCGUUGUCCGGAAUCACUGGGCGUAAAGGGCGCGUAGGUGGUGUCGUAAGUCUGCGGUGAAAGCCCGGGGCUCAACCCCGGGUCUGCCGCGGAGACUGCGAGACUCGAGUACUGUAGGGGCUGGUAGAAUGCCGGGUGUAGCGGUGGAAUGCGUAGAGAUCCGGCGGAAGACCGGUGGCGAAGGCGGCCAGCUGGGCAGUGACUGACACUGAGGCGCGACAGCGUGGGGAGCAAACAGG